CCUUCGAUAGCUCAGUUGGUAGAGCGGUGGACUGUAGAGGCUUAAAAAUUUAGCGUUAGCGUCAAGCAGGCAGUAAUCCAUAGGUCACUGGUUCAAAUCCGGUUCGAAGGA
rnacentral:tRNA from 2 species